rnacentral:rRNA from 1 species
UACGUAGGGGGCAAGCGUUGUCCGGAAUUAUUGGGCGUAAAGCGCGCGCAGGCGGUUAUUUAAGUCUUAUGUAUAAAGCCAAGGCUCAACCUUGGAUCGCAUGGGAAACUGGGUGGCUGGAGUGUAGGAGAGGAAAGUGGAAUUCCACGUGUAGCGGUGAAAUGCGUAGAGAUGUGGAGGAACACCGGUGGCGAAGGCGACUUUCUGUCCUAUAACUGACGCUGAGGCGCGAAAGCGUGGGGAGCAAACAGG